AUUGAACGCUGGCGGCAGGCCUAACACAUGCAAGUCGAGCGGAGCGGCGGACGGGUGAGUAAUGCCUAGGAAUCUGCCUGGUAGUGGGGGAUAACGUCCGGAAACGGGCGCUAAUACCGCAUACUAUCAGAUGAGCCUAGGUCGGAGUAGCUAGUUGGUGGGGUAAAGGCCUACCAAGGCGACGAUCCGUAACUGGUCUGAGAGGAUGAUCAGUCAAAAUGGAACGGAUACCCGGUCCAUACUCCUACGGGAGGCAGCAGUGGAGAAUAGUGGAGAAUUGGCGAAAGCCUGAUACAGCCAUGCCGCGUGUGUGAAGAAGGUUUGCGGAUUGUAAAGCACUUUAAGUUGGGAGGCGUUACCAACAGAAUAAGCACCGGCGAACUUCGUGCCAGCAGCCGCGGUAAUAC
rnacentral:rRNA from 1 species